AAACUUAGGUUAAUCAAACCAAAAGCCUUCAAAGCUUUUAAUAAGGACACACGUCCUUAGUUUUUG
rnacentral:tRNA from 1 species